rnacentral:rRNA from 1 species
UACGUAGGGGGCAAGCGUUGUCCGGAAUCAUUGGGCGUAAAGAGCGCGUAGGCGGUCCGGUAAGUCCGCUCUGAAAGUCCGGGGCUCAACCCCGGGAGGCGGGCGGAUACUGUCGGGCUAGAGUCCGGAAGAGGCGAGUGGAAUUCCUGGUGUAGCGGUGAAAUGCGCAGAUAUCAGGAGGAACACCAAUUGCGAAGGCAGCUCGCUGGGACGUUACUGACGCUGAUGCGCGAAAGCGUGGGGAGCAAACAGG